GAUGAACGCUGGCGGCGUGCCUAAUACAUGCAAGUCGAGCGAAUGGAUUAAGAGCUUGCUCUUAUGAAGUUAGCGGCGGACGGGUGAGUAACACGUGGGUAACCUGCCCAUAAGACUGGGAUAACUCCGGGAAACCGGGGCUAAUACAGGAUAACAUUUUGAACCGCAUGGUUCGAAAUAGAAAGGCGGCUUCGGCUGUCACUUAUGGAUGGACCCGCGUCGCAUUAGCUAGUUGGUGGGGUAACGGCUCACCAAGGCAAAGAUGCGUAGCCGGCCUGAGAGGGUGAUCGGCCACACUGGGACUGAGACACGGCCCAGACUCCUACGGGAGGCAGCAGUAGGGAAUCUUGCGCAAUGGACGAAAGUCUGACGGAGCAACGCCGCGUGGGUGAUGAAGGCUUUCGGGUCGUAAAACUCUGUUGUUAGGGAAGAACAAGUGCUAGUUGAAUAAGCUGGCACCUUGACGGUACCUAACCAGAAAGCCACGGCUAACUACGUGCCAGCCGCCGCAGUAA
rnacentral:rRNA from 1 species